rnacentral:misc_RNA from 1 species
UGGCAUAACUUGCUCGGCUACACUAUAGACGGGUAAGGGGUGUCACACAAAGCUUCAUAUUCUGCCAUAUUAUUGGUGGCUCGGAAGGCUAGCUUAGCUACAUAUUGCAACUUUGUUCUAUAUGGCCUCUCUAGAAUAAUUCUAAUUCUUGCUCCCUUUGUUCUCAAGGCAUCAUCUACCCAGACUUUCCAUUCUUCCCUAUGGUCUGCUUUCUUUGGUUCUAGAAGGGUUAGUUCUACAACAAAGUUUGCUAAAGCUUGGGCUUUUAGUGACGAUAUUGUGCCAUACUGCAUAUCAAAAUGUGCUAAGGUAUCCUGCCUAUUCAAUUACCCUUCUGGCAGUGUCCGAAUGGUGUAAGAUUUUUCGUAAUGGGUAGUUGCUUCUUACUUUAACUUUAUGUGCCUCAAAGUAGGGUCUUAGUUUGCUCAAGAAUGUUAGGACAGCAUAAGCAAGCUUUUCCAAGGUGGGGUAGUUUAACUUAUCCCCUUUCAGUACUUGGUUUGUGCAGUAAAUGGGGAAUUAUUCUUCCUCUUCCUCCCUAACCAAAAUAGAGCUAAUAGUUUCAUUAGUAACUGAAAGGUAUAAAUGCAAAGUUUCACCUAGGCAAUGUAUGUCGAGGAGUGGGGCCAAGUGAGGAAUUUUUUUGAAUUCAUUAAAUGCUGCCUGACAAUCCUCUCCCCAUUUGAACUGUUUCUUUACUUUUAGAGCUUUGUAGAAGGGGAGGCAUCUUUUGGCUGAGCAUGACAUGAAAUGGCCUAAUGGAGUUAUUCGCCCAUUGAGUUUUUGUACUUUUUUAAUGUUUUGGGUGAUUUCAUGUCAAUGAUGGCUUUUAUUUUUUUCUAGAUUAGCCGCUAUUCCAAUUUCUGAUACCAUGUAUCACAGGAAUUUUCCAACUUUAAUCCUGAAUGUGCACUUUUUUAGGUUCAGUUUCAUUCCCACUUUGUCUGGGGCGUUAAAUGCCUCAGUUAUGUCUCUGGAAUUAUCUUUCACCUUUCUACUCUUGAUGAUCAUGUCAUCUACAUACACUUCUACUACUCUACCAAUUAAAUCCUUGAACAUCAUGUUGAUCAAAUGUUGGUGUAUUACGCCUGCAUUCUUUAGCUUGAAUGGCAUUAUUCUAUAGCAAUACACCCCAUCAUCUGUAAUGAAUGCUAUUUUUCUGCAUCCCUUGGCUUUAUUAAUAUCUGGUGGUACCCAUAAAUUGCAUUGACUAACGAGCAUACAGCGUGUCCUGCCAUGGCAUCAACCAAGCGGUCAAUGGUGGGAAGAGGCUAGUGGUCUUUUGGGCAUGCUUUUGUUAAGGUUAGUGAAGUUUACACACAUCCUCCACUUACCAUUGGUUUUUUUUUUUUUUUUUU